rnacentral:piRNA from 1 species
UUUGUUUUGAGACAGGGAUUCUCUGUGUAGU